rnacentral:rRNA from 1 species
GAUGAACGCUGGCGGCGUGCCUAAUACAUGCAAGUCGAGCGAACAGACGAGGAGCUUGCUCCUCUGACGUUAGCGGCGGACGGGCGAGUAACACGUGGAUAACCUACCUAUAAGACUGGGAUAACUUCGGGGAACCGGAGCUAAUACCGGAUAAUAUAUUGUACCGCAUGGUUCAAUAGUGAAAGACGGUUUUGCUGUCACUUAUAGAUGGAUCCGCGCCGCAUUAGCUAGUUGGUAAGGUAACGGCUUACCAAGGCAACGAUGCGUAGCCGACCUGAGAGGGUGAUCGGCCACACUGGAACUGAGACACGGUCCAGACUCCUACGGGAGGCAGCAGUAGGGAAUCUUCCGCAAUGGGCGAAAGCCUGACGGAGCAACGCCGCGUGAGUGAUGAAGGUCUUCGGAUCGUAAAGCUCUGUUAUUAGGGAAGAACAAAUGUGUAAGUAACUAUGCACGUCUUGACGGUACCUAAUCAGAAAGCAACGGCUAACUACGUG